CACAAAGCUUUCAAUGAGAGUUGAGUGAUUCCUUACUUUUGGAGCAGUUAUGCAAGCACCAUGAAGGGAUAAUUCAUUUACCUCGAGCUAUGGAAAGUAAACGUAUCAACGUUGUUUGAUACGUUACAAGUGCAUAGCACAUUAUUGAUAUUUCUGGGUGUGAUUUUUCUUUCGGGCAAUAGCUGGUCUUCCUGAAAUUGAGAGACAGAAAACAACAGCUGGGGACAGAAGAAGGCAAAACUUCAGUUGCCAGUUUGUUCCCAGGGAUCGGCAACGUGUCCGUACACGGACACUAGUGUCCAUGGUAAAAAUGUUGAGGUCCGUGGGGGCGCUCACCUUGGAAGCCUCCCCACAACUGGCUCUCCAUCCCUGCUGUUGCUGGCGGAGGCAUGGCCAGGUGGCUCUGCAGGCUGCCUCUGUCCCCCGUCCCUGAGCGCUGACUCUGCAGCUCCCAACCUAUUGGCGGUAGUGGCAACUACAGCAAGAGGGAGGGUGGCUGGGAGGAUGGGUACUCACCUCCCCAAAACCAUUCCUCUAACCCUCAUCCCAAAUCUCCUGUAAAAGCAGAAGAGCCCAAAAGGGCUAUCAGUGUAAUUCCACUGAUCACCUGAGAAAUAAAUGUCCUGUGCUAGGAGGAAGCAGGCAACCAAUAGCUCAUGUUAGUUCUGCUGUCCUCAACACAGAAGUCCCCCAAGCAAUUGAACCCUAUCAUAUUGGUUUUGUGAGAUUAGCCUCUGCAGAACCAGAAUGGAGCACGUUAAGGUUGUCAGAAUUAAUGGCAGAGAAUACUUGGGGCAGAGGGAUACA